rnacentral:rRNA from 1 species
UACAGAGGUCUCGAGCGUUAGGCGGAAUUACUGGGCGUAAAGCGUGCGUAGGUGGUGAGUUAAGUCUGUCGUGAAAGCCCCGGGCUCAACCUGGGAAUGGCGAUGGAUACUGGCUCGCUAGAGUGCGGUAGAGGAGAGUGGAAUUCCCGGUGUAGCAGUGAAAUGCGUAGAGAUCGGGAGGAACAUCAGUUGCGAAGGCGGCUCUCUGGACCAGCACUGACACUGAGGCACGAAAGCGUGGGGAGCAAACAGG